GUUCUGCUAUGGCCAGCGAAGAGCCCGGAUCUCAAUCCCAUUGAGCACGUCUGGGACCUGUUGAAUCGGAGGGUGAGGGGUUAGGGCCAUUCCCCCCCCAGAAAUGUCCUUGAACUUGCCUUGAUGGAAGAGUGUGGUAACAUCUCACAGCAAGAACUGGCAAAUCUGGUGCAGCCCAUGAGGAGGAGAUGCACUGCAGUGCUUAAUGCAGCUGGUGGCCACACCAGAUACUAACUGUUACUUUUGAUUUUGACCCCUCCCCUUUGUUCAGGGACACAUUAUUCAAUUUCUGUUAGUCACAUGUUUGUGGAACCUGUUCAGUUCAUGUCUCAGUUGUUGAAUCUUGUUAUGUUUAUACAAAUAUUUACACAUGUUAAGUUUGCUGAAAAUAAACGCGGUUGACAGUGGGAGGACGUUUUUUUUUUGGCUGAGCUUAGAAGCUUUGAAUAAAAUACUGGAGUCAGACUCAAAUCUGAGGAGCGAUUUGGACAAAGAGGAUUUAAACUCAGCUGACGAAGAUUGCUUUCUUGAAGGAUUGGAUCCAUUUUAAGAUCUAGUGGAGGAUGCAGAUGAUGUGGAUGAUGAAGUUUGGGAGCCACCCCUCCCCAGCAAGCACCCUGCCGGUCAAGGUCUUCAAUCCCCCCCACUGCUACAGCCAUCACCCCGUCUGAUGGUUCUACAUCCACCACUCGACAGAGGCCCCACUCCUCUUCAACCACCCCCACUGCAGUUUCAAUCACCCCGUCUGAUGGUUCUACAUCCACUUUUCAUAGACCUCUUGAAAAAGAAAAUAGGGGCUUGUGGCACCAUUCGUCCUAACAGAAUCAUUUUCCCCAAGACCAAGGUAAACGACAUGACAAAGACAUCGGAGAGUGGGACCAUACAUUGGAUCAGGACUAACAAGCUGCUUUUUGUGAAAUGGAAGGACACUAGCUAAGUAACCAUGCUCACCACACAGCAUAAGGCAUUCAAUAAUAACCAUGUCUCAAGGAGGGUGAAAAAUGCCAAUGGGGCAUGGGUGAGGAAGAAUGUCCCCGUUUCUGUGAAGGACUACAAUUCCAGCAUGGGGGGUAUCUAAUGCUCUGAUAGGCUACGACCAGGAAGUGGAAGAAGAUUAUUUUUUUCACUUUGUGGACAUAGCUACAGUAAAUGCUUUCAUUCUCCGAAAGCAGGUGGCCAAAGCAAAAGGUCAAACCCCUCUCACCCAGUUCCGAGUGCAGCUGGUGUUGGAAAUUGCAGAAUUGGAGGCCCAAAGCAACCUCACAACCAUCACAAGACCCCCCCCCCCCACUCAAGGUGAGCGCCACUAUCCAACACACAUGCCAAAAGACAAAAGGAAGAACUCCAAACGUUGCAUAAAACACGAGGGGAGGUUGAAAUGCCACAUCUGUCUGAAAUGCAAGUUUUCCUUUUGUUUCCUGGCAGAAAGGGACUGCUUCAAAGACUAUCAUGACAUGCACAAGCUACAGUGAAAGUGAAAUCUAAUCAUCUACACCUGGGAUGUAAAACAAACACGAAUGCCAUUUUUGUAAAUAGUUCAUCUUAUUUUUAUUUUUGCACCUCUUUUAGUGAAGGACACGUGUGUAUCUAAGUUUGUUUGAUUAGACAUUUAAAAAAAUAAAAUCAAAAUUGUGUAUUUGUUGCUUUUAUAUUGUUUUUGUAAAUAGUAAAUUUGUAUGUGGGACCAAUACAUUGGAUAUGCGUAGGCUAAACGUUCAGGAACUUUGGCGAGGUUGAAAAAACAGUUGUAUGUCCCCCGACACCACCACAAUGUUUGAGAGAGGUUGGUGUUGUAGAAAUGUUUUUUUUUUUAUGGUGAACAAUAACUUUUAGGCGCUUCCAGUGAGCAAAAACAGUGCAAUUUCCACAUUCGGACACUUUGGAGAGGUUGAAAGGACACUUUAAUGUACCCUGGAUACCCCAUAACUCCACCACACUGUUUGAGUAAGGUUGAUAUGGUAGAAAUUGUUUUUAUACUUAACAAAUAGCAUUUAGGGAUUGCAAAUAUGUAAUAGCACUGGAAUUAAUAUAAUUUACAGACAUAUGCCACUUUGGAGAGGUUAAGGGACACAUGACCAAAUAUCCCGUGACCACACAUGACACCACUUACUAAAACAUCUGCCCAUUUCUAGUUGUUAGGUCUAUCAAUCCCUUUUUUUCUGAUUGUUCACAUGUUGUGGAAGCCAUGUGAUGUGUUUCCAGCUCUGGGCAUCAAUAAUUCACUUAUAGCUUGUCAAUGAAAGAUGACUUUAAAAUACAAAAACAAAAAAUGUUA